GGUUUUGUAAUAUUGAACUUUAGGGGGGGAGGUUUUGUAAUAUUGAACUUUAGGGGGGGAGGUGAGUUUAAUAUAUAUCUUAUAUAAUAUUGGGUUAUUGCUGGAUUGUUAGUGGUUACUGUAAUUCUAAAAAUUCAAGUGGUUAUAUAGAAACAAUUCACUUAAACCGUGUAGAUAUAGCAUCUAUGCAUCUCGAUUAUGACUUGAUCCAAUUUUAUUUUUGUUGUGUAGAUAGCAUAUUGGCCUAUUUACCAAUAGAUAUGAACUGUCGAAUAAACACUUAAUCUUAAUUACUUUGAAUUCAGAUAAAGUACUAU
rnacentral:lncRNA from 1 species